CCUACGGGAGGCUGCAGUGAGGAAUAUUGGUCAAUGGGCGGAAGCCUGAACCAGCUAAGUAGCGUGCGGGAUGAAGGCCCUACGGGUCGUAAACCGCUUUUGCACGGGGAUAACACCCUCCACUUGUGGAGGUCUGCAGGUACCGUGCGAAUAAGGGCCGGCUAAGUCCGUGCCAGCAGCCGCGGUAAUACGGAAGGCCCGAGCGUUAUCCGGAUUCAUUGGGCUUAAAGGGAGCGUAGGCGGGCGUUAAAGUCAGCUGUAAAAUCGCGCGGCUAAAACUCGCACCGCAGUUGAUACUGGACGCCUUGAGUUCACAACAGGCAGGCGGAAUGCGUGGUGUAGCGGUGAAAUGCAUAGAUAUCACGAGGAACCCCGAUUGCGAAGGCAGCCUGCCGAGGUGCGACUGACGCUGAGGCUCGAAGGUGCGGGUAGCAAACAGGAUUAGAUACCCUAGUAGUC
rnacentral:rRNA from 1 species